AUUUGGUUUUAAAUUACGUGACUCACUAUGAAUCAUUCUUAUUAACGAUCAUUAUGAUAACUUACACAGUAAGACUGGAAGUAACCUGAUGUAAUACCAUGGCCUUCUGAUAUGGUCACCAGAAACAUUGACUGGACAGGUAAUAUGAACUUCAUCAGCGAAAAGGCUUACACAUUUCGGACGCAGAAGACAUCUUACUCAUUGCCGAAACCACAGAUCAGCUACAGACCAUGCUGACAGAGUUGGACACUCAUAGCUCAGCAAGAAGCCUUCAAAUGAACCGAGUGAAAAUAAAAUACAUUCAGCCUUACAAAGUAUCAGAAGGCCGAAUAGAAGUAGGGAGCAAUUAUAUCGAGGAGGUAAAGGAGUACGUCCACUUAGGACAGACAGUGAGUAUGCAACAAGACAAACAUUUUCAGUAUGAGGUUAUCAUAUGUGUUAAAAAUAUAUCAGCUAAAAAGGCCUUAAAUAGCGCACAUAUUCUUUUCCUUUAUUUUUUUGCAUAAUCGUAUGAAUUCUCGUGUGUAGAACACAAAUUCGCAAACAUUUUUUUUUAAAUUCCAAAAAAUAAAUGAAGAUUCGAUGGUUUAUAUAGCGUCUGUAAAGCAGAAUUUCGCCAAAAUUUCGUUGUUUAUAGUUGACACAUGCUGUCACGCACAAAAUGACAGCUUCCAAAUCCUGUUUUAUGAUUUAAUAAAAAUGAUCAAACUUUAAACCUCAUUUUAAAAAAAUGUUCUCAUAAAAGUGAA
rnacentral:misc_RNA from 1 species